rnacentral:rRNA from 1 species
AGCGCAGGCGGAUCUGUAAGUCAGGGGUGAAAUCCUACAGCUUAACUGUAGAACUGCCUUUGAUACUGCAGGUCUUGAGAUCGGAAGAGAGAGACGGAAUUCCAGGUGUAGUGGUGAAAUACGUAGAUAUCUGGAAGAACACCGAUGGCGAAGGCAGUCUCUUGGUCCGCAUCUGACGCUGAGGCUCGAAAGCGUGGGGAGCAAACAGGAUUAGAUACCCUGGUAGUCC